rnacentral:misc_RNA from 1 species
AGGAAACAAUUAUCAUCUUCAGUUUUGAGAGACUUAAGAAAGUUUUUCAUUGUCACUUGCUUGCAAAUUGUAUUUGCAACAUUUUAAUCUUUUUAAGAUUAAGGGCCUAUAGCUCAGUUGGUUAGAGCACACGCCUGAUAAGCGUGAGGUCGGUGGUUCAAGUCCAUUUAGGCCCACCAUAACCACAAAUAGGCAAAAUCUUAAAAAAGCUCUUUGAAAAGUAGAUAAACGAAGGUUAAAAAAUC